rnacentral:rRNA from 1 species
CCUACGGGAGGCAGCAGUGAGGAAUAUUGGUCAAUGGACGAGAGUCUGAACCAGCCAAGUAGCGUGAAGGAUGACUGCCCUAUGGGUUGUAAACUUCUUUUAUAUGGGAAUAAAACGUUCCACGUGUGGGAUUUUGUAUGUACCAUAUGAAUAAGGAUCGGCUAACUCCGUGCCAGCAGCCGCGGUAAUACGGAGGAUCCGAGCGUUAUCCGGAUUUAUUGGGUUUAAAGGGAGCGUAGGUGGAUUGUUAAGUCAGUUGUGAAAGUUUGCGGCUCAACCGUAAAAUUGCAGUUGAAACUGGCAGUCUUGAGUACAGUAGAGGUGGGCGGAAUUCGUGGUGUAGCGGUGAAAUGCUUAGAUACCACGAAGAACUCCGAUUGCGAAGGCAGUUCACUGGACUGCAACUGACACUGAGGCUCGAAAGUGUGGGUAUCAAACAGGAGUAGAUACCCGGGUAGUC